rnacentral:lncRNA from 1 species
ACGGAGGUGGAUCCUUGCUUACGGUAGGAGUCCAAGUCCUUGCUAAUACAUCGCCUUUGGCUAAGUUGACAAUGGAGUCUGUGGAGACUGCAAGCACCCUUAUUUCAUGUACAUUGCAGAACAUUAAGAAAGCUUUUCAGUGCGAGGAUGGUUGAUUGUAUAAUAAGAUGAAUUUGUGACAUAAAUUUCAAUUUGAAAGUAGCUCGUGUAGAUUUCUUGUUAUUUUUGAAGUUCGAGAUAAACUAAUCACCAAUAGGAAGCUUUCAAACAUUUUUAAGAUUUUCUUUUCCCAAGCAAGUUCUUUGUUGUUAAUUUGAGGGAAUUGACAAUGUGCACAUGGAAUGAAAAAAAAAAUUGUUUUUGCCAAGCUGUCUCAAUUGUGGAUAGCUAAUCUGUAGCUUGAAGCAGCAUGAGUCCAGGAAUCAUCCUCUCUUCUUUCUUUUUGCUGCUUGACUUGGCAACGACAAGAGCACAAGAAUGCAAUCCUGACAUUUUUGUAAGGUUUUAUGGUGCCUCUCCAAACAGGUGCAAAAAAUUUCUCUGGCCUUUGUAAGGUGAAGUGAGAUUACGAAUGUUUCUAACUUUUUAUAUUUACUAUAUUUUUUGUAUGUGAAAUUUUCGAAUUAAAAUCACAUAGAAUGCAUUUCUUGAAUCCCUUAUAAUGUUUAUAGAUGAAACUCCACCGAGAAGUCCAUCUCCAGAAAUGGCACUAUAUCCAUCUCUGCCUGGCGGCCUCAAUCUCUUCUAUUUUUGUGAAAAUAAGUUUUAUCAGAUGGCAAGAUUUAGCCAGACCAAUAUCGCCUUCUUCUACAUAUAUAUCGCAUAUAUGCAUCGCAAACGACAAGAAAAUAAUUGGUCGAAGCCCAAUUCGAAGGUCUAGAGUAUAACUGAUACUAACCUGCAUAAGUGCAUCCAAGUUCAUGAACGGGUUUGGCUUUCUUGUACGAGGGCGAAGAGCAAUUUGCGAGGGUUCUGCGUCUGUCGCAGUUUUUUUUGUGCAUGUCGGUAUAUUUGUUAAUGCAACACUCUUGGCUCCGUGACUUUUGUAGCAGGUUGCCUGAACCCAGAACAAAAAGAUCCGUGGAUGAUUGUAUUAAUCUCACCGUAAGGUUAUCCCAAACCAUCUAAUCAUUUCUGUGCCUAGAGAAACUAUUAAAGCAGCAAACUGAGAAGCUAACUCCAUGGAAAUUACGCCCACGGCUGCAAGGAAAAGUUCUUCCUUUGUGAUGUCAAGCCUGCCACAGUUCCAUUCUCUACAUGCCUAAAAAUUUUCUGGUA